CCGUUGUACCCGAGAGACCCGGGUUCAAGUCCCGGCAACGGAACCUUUUUUGCACUGCCACGUGUCAUACCCUCUGUCUCUCUAGAGAUGCUCCAUUGUCGACAAUGGGUAACAAGACGAAAUUCAUCAAGAGGAAACAAUCGGCAACUUUUCAACUCCUCGCUCGAGACUCCUCUGAUCCAAACUACACCGAUGGAACUUCGGGCGAUUGAAUUUUCGUGAGAGUCGACAACAAUUCUUACUCACCCUAUACCUUCUUCGAAGCAGAUGAAGAUGGCCAAUUCGCCGAUAACGAUCCCAAUUCAGUGUUCGCUGACGCUCCGGACGAUUGUGAUGAUGAAGAUGACGGCGGAGAUUUGCCAAAGCAGAUUCGAGCGCCGCCGCAGAGCGCGGCGGCGGUGUUGCCGGAUCAUGUAAGGAGGGAGAUUUUGGAGCUAGGGUUUCCGGAUGACGGUUAUAUUAUAACUAUUCGAUUCAUUUGAGGGAGAUUAAGAACAUUGGUGGUGGUUUGGCUUAUUAUCAUAAUAAUAAAGCGAAGCUCGAUCAGCUUCCACUUGAUGUGAAGGCAUAUGAUGCUUGGAGAGUAGAAAUUCCUGGUGUGAAUGAUGAUUUGAACGAGAAGUCAAUUUAUAAUGUGGCAUCAAGGACUGUAGGUGUUAGGAUUCAGAAAGCAGUUAAUCAUUAAGUCGUUGCAUUGCUUGAUGAUAGUGAUUUGUCUCGCUUCGGUUCUGAUGAUGAGUACUUGGAAGAGGAUUUUGUUGUCAAGGCUAACCUUCUCGAUGAAGCGGGGAUGUAGAAUUUGAUAAAAAGUUGAAUUUGGUUGAAAACUCUGCGGUGAACAGAAAAGGAGUUGAUGUGGUUGACUUUGUUGAUGCUGAAGUCAGAAAUCUCCUGCCCAAUGCCGGUAGCACUGCUGAGAAACCAAGGGCUCUCCACCUUUUAGAUGAGUUGUUUUGACAUGGUAUGUUUUACGCGAUAUCUUUUAAAAAGUGAACGGUUCGGAUUGUUGGAAUGAAGCCGAAAAAGGCUCCAUUGGCUACACAACAAUGGCUGUUGCGUACCAUACAUAACAGCCUCCUCAAGUUAAAUUACAAUACCAUGAAGUACUACUUGUUCAUACUCUGACACUACUGCAUGUUCACCUGGCAACAUAUUAUUUUUUAUUUUUAAACCCUAAUUGCCACAUGUCAUGAUCAAUGCCCUGCGAUUUAGAGUUUUAGAUAUAACACUUCGGGAGCUUUUAUUUGCACACACUAUUUACCCUCUUUACACACACUUAAUAAAUUUUUUUUAUUACAUUUUAGUCCUAAAAUGAAACUACCAAAAUACCCCUUUCUUCUUCAAACUACCAAAAGCCUAACCCUAAUCGUAACCCUUACCAACAGUCACCACCAUCCUCCAUGGCCGCUGCCUCUCUUUUCCUCUAUCACCACCGUUACCUCUUCCUCCACCACUGCAACUCCCUUUCAUCUGCGAACCCAUUGCCUUUCUGCCUCUGUUCCCCAUCCCGUCAGGCAUCGUGGAAUCGCCUCUGUUCGGAAAUCAACCAUCGAACCAAUGAAUUUGGUUCGACUAUCAACAUUCGAACAAAACACAUUGGUUCGACCAUCAACAUCCGAAACCCCCUUUCGUCUGCGAGUCGUCGUCGCCUUCCUUUUUGCGACUGAGAUGAGAGAGAGAAAGAGAGGGGUUGCAAUACGUCGCCGGUGCUGUGUUGCCGUGGGCAUGGAGGCUGCUGGCUAGGGUUAGGGUUUGAUAGUUGGUUGCUGGUGUGGAAGAAGGUGUGUGGAUUGAGAGUGUUUGUAUGAGGAUAUAACUGGAAUAAAAUUAUGUGUGAUGGAUAAUUUUUUGUUUUUUGAGUGUGUGAAUUAAAAAGGACGUGUAAAAAAAGGAAUGUGUGUAAAUAGAAACUCCCAACUUUCUCUCUCUAGAGAAGUUCCAUCGUUGAAAAUGGGUAACAAGAAGAAAUUCAUCAACAAGAAACAAUCGGCUACUUUUCAACUGCUCGCUUGAGACUCCUCUGAUCCAAAAAUUACACCGAUGGACCUUUGGGAAAUUUCGUGAGAGUCGACAACAAUUCUUACUCAGGCAAACCUUCUUCGAAGGAGAUGAAGAUGGCCAAUUCGCCGACAACGAUCCCAACUCAAUGUUCGCUGACGCUCCGAACGAUUGUGAUGAUGAAGAUGACGGUGGAGAUUUGCAAAAGCAGAUUUGAGCGGUGUUACCGGAUCAUAUAAGGAGGGAGAUUUUGGCGCUAGGGUUUCCGGAUGACGGUUAUAACUAUUUGAUUCAUUUGAGGGAGAUUAAGAACACUGGUGGUGGUUCGGCUUAUUAUCAUAAUAGUAAAGCGAAGCUCGAUCAGCUUCCACUUGAUGUGAAGGCAUAUGAUGCUUUAAGAGUAGAAAUUCUUGGUGUGAAUGAUGAUUCGAACAAGAAGUCAAUUUAUAAUGUAGCAUCAAGGACUGUAGGUGUUAGGAUUCAGAAAGCAGUUGAUCCUGAAGUAGUUGCAUUGCUUGAUGAUAGUGAUUUGUCUCGCUUUGGUUCUAAUGAUGAGGACUUGGAAGAGGACUUUGUUGUCAAGGCAAACCUUCUCAAUGAAGCGGAGGAUGUAGAAUUUGAUAAAAAGUUGAAUUUGGUUGAAAACUCUGCGGUGAACAGAAAAGGAGUUGAUGUGGUUGACUUUGUUGAUGCUGAAGUCAGAAAUCUCUGGUUUAUAAACUUUAAUAAUUAAAAUGUUAAAUUUUUUAAAAAGUUUUCACUGAUUUUUAAUUUCCCCAAAAAUAAAUAAAUACAUAACUCCAAAAUCUUUGGUUUGUAUUGCUUCAGUUUGGAAUGACCUUUCUAAAACAUUUGAAAUAGAAAUUCAUGUUGACUCUCUUUGCCGGGCAAAUAUUUUCCACAUUUUUUGAAGUUUGGUACAACUGAAAAUAAGAGUCAACGAAAGAAAAUGUUUUCCUUUUUUUUGAACCAGAAAACAUUUUCCAGAAGUCGAUCAAUUUGUCAAGCAGCACUGAGCUUCUCGUUCCAGCGAUAGCAUUGAUUUACUUUCAAAUCUACGAACCAACCCUCCCAGGCCCGUCCUGAACAUCAGCAAUAUUUGAACAAGAAAAUUGAGUUUUAUGAUGAGACGGCUGUAGUAAUUGGUAGAGAUAUGGCAACAGGGAACUUUGCGAAGUCUUUUGUUAACAUAGAUGCUGAAGCGAAAAUUGUUGAAUCAAUUGAUUUUGGCAUUGAUGUGGAAGAUGUAGCAAAAAGGAAAUAUGUUACUUCUUCAAGUGAAAUUUCUUCUGAAGCAAGGUCUCAUAAAAGGAAUCACUGUGAUCAAGAUGAUAGCUAUGACAAGUUAUCCGAACAAAUUGGAGAAGUUGCUUCAGCAAUAAAAAAAUUGACGGAGGAUCAAGUUAAUGGUAAUGAUCUUUAUGAAGAAGUUAUGAAGAUGCAGGGAUAUGAUGAAUUUAUGCUUGCCCAGCAUUUGAUUAUUUGGUUGAAAAUGAAAAUGUAGCAAAGGCAUUCAUGAUCAAGAGUGUUAGGCUUGGAAAAAUAGGGUUGGAAGGUUUCUUUGAAAAAAUGCUAGAAACUAGUUGUCUAAAUUUGUACUAGGCUAUGAAUUAAGGCCUAUUAGCUUGUUUCCUUUUAGCUUGUUUAAAUUUUUUUGUUUUCACUGAAUCAAGGCCUAUUAACUUUUUUUUUU